CAUAUACCCCCGUGUGGCAAAUAUAUUCUUAGCUAAUAAAAAAAUUUAGCCUUGUUGAAAUUGGGAAACGAAGGAUAUUUCUGCAGUAGAUUCUGUAUGAAAUUCAGAAGCCAGGGGAAUAAAUUCAUACCGUAGCAUGAAAAGUUAACUGAGAACUUUUGACGCUGUGUUUGUCUCAGAAAGAAUGCUGGACUGCUUAUGGAACUUGUUCUUCAGAAGGCAACUUGUACCAUAUCCAUUCAGAAAAUAGUGUAAGUAAUUCUUUGAAGGAAUGAGCAUAUAACCUUUCUAUCACCUCUAAUUUUGUUCUUGUGAAAUUUGAUUUAAUCUUUUUUGAGCACCCUCUUGUAUGUUUUCUACACCCUUGUCUUGCCUACAUACGUUUUCUUCAUUACAAGACCCCUCUUAACAAAAUGUAAAAAAGAGAAGAUUGAGAUCAGUAGAUUUCUAUUUGUAGACUGAAACUGAUAAGCUAAAUCUUAA